GAGGGAGAGAUGGUCACUGUUUUUGCUUUCUAUUUUUGUAUGCUUGAAGUGUCUCAGAGGUUGCAUACUGUUUUAUUUUUAAGUUAAGAAAACUCUGAAACAUCUUUACGAAACGGCCAUCAUCCCCCCCGGUCUAUAUGGCAUCUGUGGAUAAACACCCACUCUGUGAGCAGUUGUGUUCCUGGAGCCAGGCCUGCCCCGGAGCCGCCUCGGGCGCUGGAGAGGAGACUGGGCUGGGGGCACCACCGGAGGCUCCAGGCGGCCGUGGGCAGUCACCGACGGCUACAGUCACCAGAAGAAAGGGGCGCGUGCUGAGGGCCAUCGCAGAGAAUGGUCGGUAGAAGCUUCCAGCAGAGAGCUUCAAGCAAGCAGGGA
rnacentral:lncRNA from 1 species